UUACCGUGAUGCGUUUUCGUUUCAUCGAGUUUCAAAUUACGUCGAUUCUAAAGAAGUUUUACUUAAAACAAACAAGCAGAUGUGACAACGAGGCGCAGUUUCUUCAAAAGAUGACUCGAAAACUAAUGGUUACAUGGAGGAAUGUCAAAAAUUUAUGGAAAAAAAGCGGAGACCCAUUUCCGUGGCAACUCUUAAAGAGUGUUAUUUUCUUUACGUUGGGUCUUAAAUUAUUCAAUGACGUCAAUCGUUACAUGGCCAAUAAUUCACUCACACCCUAUAAAAAUUUCUAAAUGAGUAACAAUUCCUAUAAAGUUGCUUUGCAUAAAUAUUAUUUUAACUCAA